rnacentral:misc_RNA from 1 species
AGAUCUAUAGCCUCCACCAAGCUGAAACAAUAGAUUAUAGAGAGCAAUUAGAUAUGAACAAGAAACAGGGAUAGGUUAAGUAAAGAUGGGAUAUUGCAUAAUUGAAUAACUCGGGAUUGAACUACAACUAUGAUUUGGUUAUAUUUUAUUUAUGAAUAUUCACAAAUUCUAUUAUAUUUAAAACCAAUUCUUAAAACCACAAUAACAAUUCUUUUGAUGCAAAGUACAGUUUUUUUUUUCCAUUUAAUUUCACUUAAGCAUCAUUACUUAAGCAAUUAAAAUUCUAACGGUAAAAUUAAAAUCCCAAAGCUGCAAGCUACAUGCAAUCUAAGAAUUACCAUUUGUUUGGAUCCUUAAUUUGUGCAGGGAAAUUGAAGAGGGGAAUUUUGGAGAGAAAUUAAACGAGAAAUGAAGAAAAAAGAAAAGACUCUGUUAGAAAAAUCCAAUUUAUCCAACAAGAAAAUUGAAAAUGGAGAGAAAUCCCCUUCAUCCAAACAAAGGGUUAGAAAAUGCAAUAGUUAAAAUUCACCUGACACUUCAAAGAAAAUAAAAUCCACGUAAAUCAAAGGCCUGCUUUAGGUUUUUUUUUUUUUCCUUGACUAAUUCACUUUUAAUAAAAGAAUUCUGAAUUCUCAAAUAAUCAUAGAAAUAUAUUUUUUUUUCCAUUCAAAAUAUGAAUCAGUUAAAGAAAUCAAUUUAAUUGAGUUCUAUUCCGGACAAGGGUUAUAGAAAUUGAAUUAAUUGAAGCCCAAAGAACGUAUAAUCUUCAAAUGAUAAUCAAAAUUAGUUUUCUU